rnacentral:rRNA from 1 species
UACGUAGGGUGCAAGCGUUGUCCGGAAUUAUUGGGCGUAAAGAGCUCGUAGGCGGUCUGUCGCGUCGGCUGUGAAAACUCGGGGCUCAACCCCGAGCCUGCAGUCGAUACGGGCAGACUAGAGUGCUGUAGGGGAGACUGGAAUUCCUGGUGUAGCGGUGAAAUGCGCAGAUAUCAGGAGGAACACCGGUGGCGAAGGCGGGUCUCUGGGCAGUAACUGACGCUGAGGCGCGAAAGCUAGGGGAGCAAACGGG